rnacentral:lncRNA from 1 species
GAAGUUGUGUGGUGCUGGCUCACCUUUCUUGUGUCCCUGAUGCUGGACUCAGUGGGAUUUCCCUUCUCUGUUGGCACUGUCUCUUCUGAAAGCUGCUGUCCAGAGACCCAGCCCUGUCAUCUCAUAGAGACUUGACAUCUGUCUCGGGAGCCACCUGAUGGAUCUUUCCUGUCUUCUCACUUCGGGACCUGAAGAACUUGGUGUGAUGGUAAACCUCCGUGAUCCGUGACUAAGCUGGUGAAGAAAAUCAUAACCUUUAAUUCUCAAAUCCUCUCACACUGGCUUUUGGACAUUUAUGAGCAGGAUUAAAGCUGUCAAGAUGUAGAUUUACUGAAUCUCUUCCGUGAUUAAGGUUGUUGACAUAUGGAUACGGCCUUAUCAGUGAAGGGCUUUUGGUGCCAAGCCUGGCUGUGUGGACUGUCCUGGGAACAGUGGGAGCCACUGAAUACUUCAAAGCAUGCGAAAUGUACCAUACUCCCAUGGCUGCACACUGGAGCACAUGCAGGGCAUGACACUCUUGGGGCAACGAGUACCUGCUGGCUGACAAGAAGUUAUGUUCUGUGGGAUCUGAGCAUCCUGGAUAAAAAGACAUGGGCCCCUGGAUAUACAUCCUGAGGCAGAAGACAAGGACAUUGCCUGGAAGCCCUACGAAGGAGCAGCUGGCAUCCUUAUGUGACAUCUACUAAUCUUAGGACAUCAGAGUGCUUUGAGCUGCUGUGCUGAGGGAGACCUGCCAUCCUUCCUGCUUCUGUAACCUCUCUCCACUGCCUGAUAGCACUGGUCAUCCCACAAAACCCCUGGGGGAGUUUAACUUGCAGAUACAACUUAGAAAUGGCUGAAUUGAAGACAUUUGGACUUAGAAACAAAUGUGUACAUCUCUCUUGCCCUGGGAAUAGAGGUCUGAGUUGUGUGAAAUACUGGGAAGCCUGAGAAGUCCCAUGUAUGUGACAGUCAGUGGGAUGAGGAUCAUGAUAGCACUGCCCGAGAGAUUAAAAUAAAGGCUGAGAACGU